rnacentral:rRNA from 1 species
AGCAGCCGCGGUAAUUCCAGCUCCAAUAGCGUAUAUUAAAGUUGUUGCAGUUAAAAAGCUCGUAGUUGAAUUUCGGGAUUGGCGCAUCGGUCGUGCCUCACGGGGUAUGAACUGGUGCAGUCAAUUUCUCACCUUCUGGAGAACCGCGAUGUCCUUAAUUGGAUGCCGCGGGGAACCAGGACCUUUACUUUGAAAAAAUUGAGUGUUUAAAGCAGGCAUUUUUGCUUGAAUACAUUAGCAUGGAAUAAUAAAUAGGACGGCAUGGUUCUAUUUUGUUGGUUUCUAGGACCACCGUAAUGAUUAAUAGGGAUAGUUGGGGGCAUUAGUAUUCGAUUGUCAGAGGUGAAAUUCUUGGAUUUAUUGAAGACUAACUACUGCGAAAGCAUUUGCCAAGGAUGUUUUCAUUAAUCAAGAACGAAAGUUAGGGAUCGAAGACGAUCAGAUACCGUCGUAGUCUUAACCAUAAACUAUGCCGACUAGGAAUCAGACGAUGUUAAUUUUUAAUGUACUCGUUGGCUAC